AUGUGCUACAUGGGAACCACACAAAUAUCCGAUGACGAUCUGUGCCACCUACAUGGGAACCACGCAAACACCCAACCAUCACCCAUGUCACCUACAUGGGAACUACACAAACAUCCAACCAUCACCCGUGCCACCUACAUGGGAACCAGGCAAACAUCCAACCAUCACCCGUGUCACUUACAUGGGAACCACGCAAACACCCAACCAUCACCCGUGUCACCUACAUGGGGACCACACAAAUAUCCAACCAUCACCCGUGUCACCUACAUGGGAACCAGGCAAACAUCCAACCAUCACCCGUGUCACCUACAUGGGAACCACACAAACAUCCAACCAUCACCUGUGUCACCUACAUGGGAACCAGGCAAACACCCAACCAUCACCUGUGUCACCUACAUGGAACCACACAAACACCUGACCAUCACCCGUGUCACCUACAUGGGAACCACACAAACAUCCAACCAUCACCUGUGUCACCUACAUGGAACCACACAAACACCUGACCAUCACCUGUAUCACCUACAUGGGAACCAGGCAAACACCCAACCAUCACCCGUGUCACCUACAUGGGAACCACACAAACACCUGACCAUCACCCGUGUCACCUACAUGGGGACCACACAAACAUCCAAGCAUCACCCGUGUCACCUACAUGGUACAUGGGAACCACACAAACACCCAACCAUCACCCGUGUCACCUACAUGGGGACCACACAAACAUCAACCAUCACCCGUGUCACCUACAUGGGAACCAUGCAAACACCCAACCAUCACCCAUGUCACCUACAUGGGAACCACACAAACACCCGACCAUCACCCGUGUCACCUACAUGGUACAUGGGAACCAAACACCUGACCAUCACCCGUGUCACCUACAUGGGAACCACACAAAUAUCCAACCAUCACCCAUGUCACCUACAUGGGAACCAUGCAAACACCCAACCAUCACCCGUGUCACCUACAUGGGGACCAUACAAACAUCCAACCAUCACCCGUGUCACCUACAUGGGGACCACACAAAUACCCGACCAUCACCUGUGCCACUUACAUAGUAUAUGGGAAUCAUGCAAACAUUAA
rnacentral:lncRNA from 1 species